UGGGGAAUAUUGGACAAUGGGCGCAAGCCUGAUCCAGCAAUGCCGCGUGCGUGAAGAAGGCCUUUGGGUUGUAAAGCACUUUUAUCAGGAGCGAAACGCUGUCGGCUAAUACCCGGCGGAACUGACGGUACCUGAGGAAUAAGCACCGGCUAACUUCGUGCCAGCAGCCGCGGUAAUACGAAGGGUGCAAGCGUUAAUCGGAAUUACUGGGCGUAAAGCGUGCGUAGGCGGUUUCUUAAGUCUGCUGUGAAAUCCCCGGGCUCAACCUGGGAAUGGCAGUGGAUACUGGGAGGCUAGAGUGUGUCAGAGGGUGGUGGAAUUCCCGGUGUAGCGGUGAAAUGCGUAGAGAUCGGGAGGAACAUCAGUGGCGAAGGCGGCCACCUGGGACAACACUGACGCUGAGGCACGAAAGCGUGGGGAGCAAACAGGAUUAGAUACCCUGGUAGUCCACGCCCUAAACGAUGCGAACUGGAUGUUGGUCUCAACUCGGAGAUCAGUGUCGAAGCUAACGCGUUAAGUUCGCCGCCUGGGGAGUACGGUCGCAAGACUGAAACUCAAAGGAAUUGACGGGGUCAUAGCUGUUUCCUG
rnacentral:rRNA from 1 species